rnacentral:rRNA from 1 species
UACGGAGGGGGCUAGCGUUGUUCGGAAUUACUGGGCGUAAAGCGCGCGCAGGCGGCUAUCCAAGUCAGUGGUGAAAGCCCGGAGCUCAACUCCGGAACUGCCAUUGAAACUGUUUAGCUUGAGUAUGAGAGAGGUGAGUGGAAUUCCCAGUGUAGAGGUGAAAUUCGUAGAUAUUGGGAAGAACACCGGUGGCGAAGGCGGCUCACUGGCUCAUUACUGACGCUCAGGCGCGACAGCGUGGGGAUCAAACAGG